rnacentral:rRNA from 1 species
AUUGAACGCUAGCGGGAUGCUUUACACAUGCAGGUCGAACGGCAGCGCGGACUUCGGUCUGGCGGCGAGUGGCGAACGGGUGAGUAAUGUAUCGGAACGUGCCCAGUAGCGGGGGAUAACUACGCGAAAGCGUAGCUAAUACCGCAUACGCCCUACGGGGGAAAGCAGGGGAUCGUAAGACCUUGCACUAUUGGAGCGGCCGAUAUCGGAUUAGCUAGUUGGUGAGGUAACGGCUCACCAAGGCGACGAUCCGUAGCUGGUUUGAGAGGACGACCAGCCACACUGGGACUGAGACACGGCCCAGACUCCUACGGGAGGCAGCAGUGGGGAAUUUUGGACAAUGGGGGCAACCCUGAUCCAGCCAUCCCGCGUGUGCGAUGAAGGCCUUCGGGUUGUAAAGCACUUUUGGCGGGAAAGAAACGUCGCGGGCUAAUACCCCGUGGAACUGACGGUACCUGCAGAAUAAGCACCGGCUAACUACGUG